AUUGAACGCUGGCGGCAGGCCUAACACAUGCAAGUCGAGCGGCGGCGGACGGGUGAGUAAUGCCUAGGAAACUGCCUGAUGGAGGGGGAUAACUACUGGAAACGGUAGCUAAUACCGCAUACCAUCAGAUGUGCCCCGAUGGGAUUGGCUAGUAGGUGGGGUAACGGCUCACCUAGGCGACGGUCCCUAGCUGGUCUGAGAGGAUGACCAGCCACACUGGAACGGAGACACGGUCCAGACUCCUACGGGAGGCAGCAGUGGGGAAUAUUGCACAAUGGGCGCAAGCCUGAUGCAGCCAGGCCGCGUGUGUGAAGAAGGCCUUCGGGUUGUAAAGCACUUUCAGCGGGGAGGCGUUACCCGCAGAAGAAGCACCGGCUAACUCCGUGCCAGCAGCCGCGGUAAUAC
rnacentral:rRNA from 1 species